AUAUAGAAGUAUGAUUCUGCUCAGAAGAACGCUGCGGGGUUCAUAUACAUACAAGUCGAGCGGUCAGAAGGGAGCUUGCUCCGGAUGUUAGCGGCGGACGGGUGAGUAACACGUGGGUAACCUGCCUGUAAGACUGGGAUAAAUCCGGGAAACCGGAGAUAAUACCGGAUAGUUCCUUGAACCGCAUGGUUCAAGGAUGAAAGACGGUUUCGGCUGUCUCUUUCAGAUGGACCCGCGGCGCAUUAGCUAGUUGGUGGGGUAAUGGCUCUCCAAGGCGACGAUGCGUAGCCGACCUGAGAGGGUGAUCGGCCACACUGGGACUGAGACACGGCCCAGACUCCUACGGGAGGCAGCAGUAGGGAAUCUUCCGCAAUGGACGAAAGUCUGACGGAGCAACGCCGCGUGAGUGAUGAAGGUUUUCGGAUCGUAAAGCUCUGUUGUUAGGGAAGAACAAGUGCGAGAGUAACUGCUCGCACCUUGACGGUACCUAACCAGAAAACCACGGCUAACUACGUGCCAGCAACCGCGGUAAUACGUAGGUGGCAAGCGUUGUCCGGAAUUAUUGGGCGUAAAGGGCUCGCAGGCGGUUUCUUAAGUUUGAUGUGAAAGCCCCCGGCUCAACCGGGGAGGGUCAUUGGAAACUGGGAAACUUGAGUGCAGAAGAGGAGAGUGGAAUUCCACGUGUAGCGGUGAAAUGCGUAGAGAUGUGGAGGAACACCAGUGGCGAAGGCGACUCUCUGGUCUGUAACUGACGCUGAGGAGCGAAAGCGUGGGGAGCGAACAGGAUUAGAUACCCUGGUAGUCCACGCCGUAAACGAUGAGUGCUAAGUGUUAGGGGGUUUCCACCCCUUAGUGCUGCAGCUAACGCAUUAAGCAA
rnacentral:rRNA from 1 species